rnacentral:rRNA from 1 species
UACGUAGGGCGCAAGCGUUGUCCGGAAUUAUUGGGCGUAAAGAGCUCGUAGGCGGCUUGUCACGUCGGAUGUGAAAGCCCGAGGCUUAACCUCGGGUCUGCAUUCGAUACGGGCUAGCUAGAGUGUGGUAGGGGAGAUCGGAAUUCCCGGUGUAGUGGUGAUAUGCGUAGAUAUCGGGAGGAACACCUGUGGCGAAGGCGGCUUUCUGGGCCUUACCUGACGCUGAGACGCGAAAGCGUGGGGAGCGAACCGG